GACGCAGAACCCGGGUGGGGGGCUGGGGGCCUAAGGACCCACCUUUCCGACAAAAUCCCCACCGAUCCCAGGCGCGACGGGAACCUGGGCGCGCCGCGGCGGCCCGAGCGCUCCACAUCAGCACCCCUCCCCCAGAGCCGCUGCAGGGACGCGGAGGAGGCCUUUCCACCGCACCCGGAGCGUUUACAACGGGCUGGAAGCUGAAUACCUGGAUGGAAGUGGAGAGGCUGUUUGUGGAGAAGUUCCAUCAGUCGUUUUCCUUGGACAAUUAAAAACUUAGGCGCUCGCAGUGCCAGGGCCUGGGGACGCUGGACGUGGGAGAGGGUUGUGGUCGUUAGCCUGCGAAAAUCAUUCUUUUAAACAAUAUUCGCCGGAAAAUUAGUUUUUUCCUAACAUUUCUCAAACAAAGCAAUUAGGUCCGUCAGAAUCGGUGCUGGAAGACGAAGUCCCCACAAUGCAAUAAUGAGGUUCCCACGGAAAAUCAGUACAUUGUGUUCAUAACUGAGAUAACAGCUAGAGAAGGGGCUUUGGGCUUUUUGAGUCUCCCAAUAGUCAGUCUCUCUCUCUCUCUCUCUCUCUCUCUCUCUCUCUCUCUCUCUCUGACUUUCUGGCUUUGGACACUCCCAAUGGCACAUUUCUUUGUGGUGUUUUUAUAUUUAGAUAGAAGAAAGGAACUUGUUGUUGGAUUUUUUAAGGGAACACACCUCAUUUUGACCCUUAAAAUAAGGAAAGGGGCGCUACAAAAACAGAGAGCUCUUCAGAAGGUUAUUUUUAAAUGGAGGCCCGCCCUGUACAUGGUACCCACUCCUACCUGGACCCCUGAGAUCUCCAGAAUUAGGUGUCAUUCUAAAAUCUGGACAUUAGAAGUCACAGACUUUGUAUAUGACCACAUACUCAUCAUUUAUCUUUUCAAUAUUGUUUAUUCAUAGACGAAAAUUUUGCAGGCAUGGUUAAGAAAAAUAUAAUUCCUAGAAAGUAUAAGGGAAGGAUUAUGUCCUGCAGAAUAUGACUAACAAGGAUAGCUGGCCAUGCCCAGGGCUGGUGUUGGUUGAGGAGAUGGUGAUGGUGCGGGGCGUGUGUGUGUGCGCGCGCUUGAGGACUUGUAGAAGUGCUCAUAUCUGUAAAGUAUUAUUUCAUGGAUGCAGACCUCAAUGCUAGGUUGAAUAACUUUGUUGCCAUAGAAGAAGAACCACACAUCAGGCUUUUUUCAUUAGCAAACCAGUAAAUACUCACUUUGGGCCUCUGAAGUCACACCCAUCUCCUGAUACCUGAGAUACAAACUGAAGCUAGCUCUUAAGAGCCUCCCUCUAAGAUUUAGAGAGAAUGAUUUCUCAACCAGUUUUCAUCUUUGAAAAUGCCGUUUUCCUCUUUAUCAUUGUGAUUUUUAUUCAAAUGCAUGAGUCUCUGAUUUUCUACCCUAUGCAAAGGGUAGAGACUCCAGGGUCCUGUAGAAGAAACUUUACAUAGUGGCCUAAGGAUCUUAUUUCUCAGAAUUCAGGGAUUGGUUUUCCUCUUUCUGGAAAUAAUGACACUAACUUGAUUUCAUGCUAUCUCUUUCAUCUUCCUCAAUACUUGUACUGUCUGUAUAUUUUUAUUAUAUACUGUGGAUAUAUUUUUAUUACCAAAAAAAGAAUUUGAGCAUGCCACAGUUUUGAAAAAUCUGAGGUUGCCCUGUUGUAGAACCCUUUAACUGCCAGGAUUUUGUACGGUUUCCCCAGUGUUACCAGGGCCAGGCCGCCAGCCUUGUGCAGUCCAUUUACCUCAGCUGGAACAGGGUGCUGUGGGUUCUAUGAGCUGUUCCGUUCCUUCAUAUUUGGCUUCCUAAUUCCUUUCUUAUCAGUUUCAGAGCCAUUUCCUAUGAUUCCUCUGCCAUAUGUUUUCUGCCAAAUUAAUUGCCUUAAGAUUUUCCUUAAGCUUUUGGAGAUAAUAUAAUGUUUGAGAAAAAAGAAAAAGAAUAGACUGAGUGGAAUCGUAUCUAGUUUCAGUUAAUAACACGUUUCAGUUGAUGUUACUGUUAUAGCUACUGGGCAUAAAGUCUCCUUCCCUUUUUUGAAUCCUAUUUUUGAGGAAUUGAAGCUGUGUCUCUAACAGACGAUAGGCCAGUUGGGUCAAAUCAGUGAUGAGAUUGUCCAGUGCAAAUUGGUGCGCAGUGAGUGGUUCUUCACUGCGCCACAGGCUGGGCUGGGGUCAGCUCCCACAGCGAGGCGAGGACCCGCUCCUCAAGCAAUGGGUGGUGCUCUUUGGCCUGCAGAUGCCGCUCCAUUUUCCUGGCUUCAAAAUUUUCCAGAUAUUUCAGUGCCCCUAGAAUGACAUUCUAACAUUCUGCUGGCAUGGAAGCACAAGGCAGUUUGUCUCUAAAACUUGCCAGAGAAUCUCUUGUCACCACCUAGGCAAAGAACCAGUGGCAAGGUGGCAGCCUCCCAAAGAGCUCAUCCCUAAUGUGACAUCCUGGAAUCAGAUGGCACGGACACCAGCCCAGCCCAGCCUCUUCUAAGCUCUGUGACUAAGGACAAGUGAGCCCCCCGCCUCCCACAGUGUUGGUAUUCUCUUGUGUACAUUCAGAAGGCAGAUGCUGCUGUGGGGCCAUGUGUGCUAUGUCCAUGGUGCAAGGUGGCACACAUGCCGAGUUACCAGGUGAGACUGCCCCUUUGGGAAGGGAUAGGAAGGAUCUCAGGUUGACUUCUUGGGCAGGAUGGCUCUUAUUUGAAUGUACCUUCAGCCCUCUCACAGAGCCUAUUUCCACAUCCCUGUGGAUUCAUCCCUGUGGAAAUCUUGAGAGUCAUUUAUCCUAUGCCGUCAUGAAGAAGCAGCAGAAGGGAGAAGGUUUAAAAACACUCAUGGACAGGCAAAGGGGUCAGCCACCUCCUGGAUCAGAUGCACUUGCCUUCCCACACACAAGUCUGGAAGCUUAGGAAAGUGUUCACGGAGGCAGAAGCUCAGGGUCGGGGCCUGAGUUUCCUGGGGCACCGCCUCCAUAUCUGGGGUUCUCUGGACUAUGCCCAGAUAGCUCAUAAUGUGCCAGCCUUGUUUGUGAUGGAGAAGGACUUGGGGAAAAGCCACCAGGAAGCGGUAAGUCUAACCAGGGAAGUGCACUGACUUGCACGCUUUGAAGAAGAGAAGGGAGAAAAGACACGAAGCCCUCACCUGAUUUGUCUGUAAGAGUUGUUAUUUCUCAGGGGAGCUGCAUUCAUGGGCCAAGCGUGUGCAGCUGGGUGUGUGAAGCAUGCAUUUUGCAAUGGACUAUCUCCAAAAGCAGAGUGAGGUCACCCAAGAAAUCCAGAGCAAGGGAAAAUACUCAUUAGCAAAGAAGUUUUGCUGGAGCUGUGAAACGGCCAACUCAUUUCCUUUUUAAGUUAUUUUAAAUGAAAUUUUAAAAAAAAUCUUGCUUUCCAAGAAAUUUUGUUUAUUGGCAUAUGUUUGGUGUUUUAAUUCAGUUUGGAGGAUGAGCUAGUUAAUUUCCCUGGGAGUACAUGUCUAUUAAAAAUAUAGCAUCCUGCAUCUGACCGAGAGAAAUAUCUUACUGUCUUAUUGUGCUUUUCUUUUAUGCAGAGAGAGAAAGGGGGGUGUUGGGAAGGAGAUCAGACUGUGGAAAUAUUUUCUUUAUUUUUUCUCUUUUUCUUUCUUUUAUAGUUUGCUUAUUUUUCAACUUGACAUGGGUAGAGACAACAAAUCGCUAGUAUAGAAAGCACAUCUGGAAUCCAUCCGGCCUCCUCUCUCUGGCUCACCCUCCCCCUAGCGAUGCUUCUCCUUGAAAAUGGGGGGAAGGUAGGCACCUCUGACCUUGGUAGGGUCUAAUUUGGGGUCAUUCACUGCAGACUCAUCUUCUGAAGGCGUCUUAUUCCUUCUCUACAAGAAAAAAAAAGUGUUGGUAUUAAAAUGCUUUGAGGUAGGCUGGAUGAUCCCAGCUUAGUGAGGAUGACAUGAAAACUCUUAGCGAAUGAGCUGUUUAUUGAGUAGAACUGAGGGAAGCUGAGAUGUGAGCAGUGUCUCUCAGUAAACAUGGAAAGACUGAAGAUGCAGACAAUCAAAUACUUAAGUACCUUGAAGAGCUGGGCGGUGGGCAGGGUCUGUCCAGUCGGUCAGGGAGAUGUGUUAGUGCAGCACUUGGAAAAGAGUGGAACGUCUGGGCAAGGGUGUGCCGCGGAGGUGGGCAGUGGGAGCAGCCCAGCGUCAGUGUCUGUAUCGGUUAGAGACCACCGCUAAUGAGGAGGAGCGUCUCUGCUCUGCAGCUGUCCGUACUCCUGUGUCUUCCGUAACGUGCCCAGCUUUCUGAAUAUAUACAAAACUAGUCUGCAGAGAGCCACACGUCUCCGCAUCUGGCUUUAUUUCUAAGUGUUCAGGUGGAAUUUAAGCCGUCAUCAAAUUUACAACGUCACUGCCAGCUCUGGACACUUGCUUUUGGAAUACAGCAAAGAGUGAACACUAAUACUGCAUCAGUCUUGCCCUCUGUUGGGGGCCACCCCUCCUCCCCACACCAGUUUUGCAAGAUGAGCUGGCUGGGGUCUGGGAAGCCCAGUGCCUCCAAGUCAUGGUUAAAGCCCAUCCCGGACACCAACACACCGCUCACAAAUCAACAUCGGCCCUGCAGAAACAUGGACAUGUGUUCGCCAAGAGAACAUCCUCAAUCAAUCCCAGCAGUGCCACCUGAUGAUAAUCAACACAUGGGCCACGGAAGAAAUUACCCCAUGUCCAUAAACAAGAAUGAAUAGAGGGUAGUGUAUCUGCCCACACCAUGAGAGCAAGAAGGAAUAUUCAGCAUGCAGGUGCAUCUAUGUGCAGGACUCGUACAAGCAUCGUGGGGAGAGGAAAGCAAUGGACACAAUUGUAUCCUGCAGGGUUUCAUUCAUGUGAAGGUCAGAAGCAGGCUAAACUCACCUAGGGGAGAGUCCUAGCCCAGGUAGUGGUGAUGCUUGGGGACAGGUGGUGACUAGGAGGGGCACAAGGAAGGCUGCAGGGUCCAGCCCAUCCUCUUGCUGGCCUGGGUACUGGUCUCACUGAUCUCUGUGUGGUGGGGCAGGCAGCGUCCCAGGCCUGCCGGUGCCCGCAGUGCCCAGCACUCCUGCAGUCCCUGGCAGUGUUAGUACCAAUCCUCCAGAGUGGCUGUCUCCCCUCUUGCCCUGAGUAGGGCUCGCUGACUCCAGGAGCCUCAGGCCUGGGUGGGCUUCGAGCUUUCUUCCAGCAAACUUGAGGUCUGUGGCUGGUACCCCUCAGGAGCGGAGGGGAACUCUUGUCCAUGAGAUGCUUUUAACCGUGCACAAUAAUGUGUAGAUACAUCCAAAAUCAAUCUGGCCUUUAGCCCAGCACUUAACUCUUGGGAUGAGGCCCGCUUUGUAAAUGUUGAUAAUCCAGAGAAAAUGAGCUUUUAGAUUCUAAAGACGCCAGAUAUCUUCCACUUAGGCAAAAUGCGGAGAAUCAUAUUUAACAAAAGAUGUUCUGGACAAAUAUGCUUCUUGAGGGAUGAAUAUUUAAUUAUAAGGGAAAUGAUAAAUCGAACAUUAAUGGGAAAAUAUGUUUGCCCUCAAGAUUCAUAGUUUUGAUGGGUCUCUGGCAAAUCUUAUACUAUGUUUAUUGGGGUUAUUUUAUUGCUGGUUAUUGUCUUUAAUUGUUUGCUUGUUUUCUGCUCUGCUCAAUUGUGUAUGAGCCUGUGGAGCGGUGGGUCUGCUCAGCCUCUCCUCUCCACUCCUGGGAGCAAGUCCAGAUCUGGCUGUUGGAUGCAUGGCAGAAGCAAAGGUGUGGAGAAGGUUCAGAGGAGACAGGACAAGUAAAAAUGGUAGGGUCAGGUUGUCAUGGGGGAAACUGAGGCACAGGAGGCAAGCUGAGGUAGUACAAGAACAGUCUGAAUUAUAACAAUAUGCCAGUGUUACCUAAAAGGAUGAGGAACAUGGAGCUGUGCUUGAAUCCCUACCUGAGCUGGGGACAAGGGGCCUCAGGCAUCACUGAUUGGAACCAAGGUUUGUCUGCAGCUUGUCAGUUUCUGUCUCAGAAGCCCCACAUACUGGAGUGGGUAUCCCGGCGAUGCUGUGGGAUAAACCAGGACACUGUGGUGUCAUGGACAGCUGUCUGUCUGCCAGGUGAAGGCCCCCUCGUUGCAGUGUGAGCCGGGCAGGUCAUCUGUUUGGCAGCAUGGUGACGGCUCUGGCCCCAGCUGCUAUGGGAGGGAGGAUGCUGGCACAGGGCACUGCCCACAGACUGCCUUUGCUCCAUGCCUUUUCCAUGAGCAUGAGUGACUGUUCAUGUGGGAAACGGCAGAGCCCUCGUGGCCCCCCUCAGCACUGUGCAAUGGUACUGGAGGUGGCAGGAGACAGCCUGAGGGCCCAGGUUGUCCUCAUACCCGGCUUCAUGCCAGGGUGCAUGCCGGGCACAGCACAUGUGUCCCCGAGAGGCCCCUGAUCAGGGUGGAAACCCAGCAAAGUGAAAAUCAGAAAUAGUGAUUCUCCAGUCCCUGCUCACAGACAAAGAAAGAAAGAAAUCAUAAACAAUACUAGGCCCGGUGCGGUGGCUCACACCUGUAAC